AACAGACAGUGGGAUAUGGUGAAACCGUGACGGUUGGUGAAUGAGACUUUGAUCCAAUGACAUUAAAGCAGAUGAGCCACCCAAAACUAAUAUACAGUGUCUACUGCAGAAGACGUGUGCUCUUCACCAGUCUGUGGACCAGGAAACGAGCCGCUGGGGAUCUCAGUCGCAAGGGUGCUCAGGUGGCCUUGGUGCAGACACUCACAGCUCUCAGACUGCAGAGUGUGCCGGUCCUCGGAGAAGGGGUGUCCUUCAGGGCAGUGCUUCUCUGGCUGAUGCCACAGACUGGCUAGUGGAUGGCCAGACUCAUCACACUGACACCCCUGUUCACCUAAACCAGAUACAACCCCUUCCUGAUGCAUCUGUUGGUGCCAAAUCUUUUUUUUUUUUUUGUAGCUUUUUAUUAUUAAAACAGUCACUGCAAUUAUCAGGAGUCGUCUAAUGUACAGUGACUGCUAUUCCUAUUGCUGGUGAGUGAGAAUAUUAAUACCAUCUGUAGUAGUGAGACAGCAAAUAUUUCCCGCCUCACAGGUGCCCUGGUAUUUUAGUGCAGAAAAUAUUCUUACAGUUCCCUGGAAAGCACGCUUUAUAAACUCUUACACAUUUUCAAAAUAAAGAUUUUUUAAAAUAAACCUUUUUGUCUCUGACGGAUUUUAAGUCUCAUAACAUGAGACGUCAGCCUUGCUGCGAUACGCAGCACCACACCAGAAGCCUCCAGCAAGCGCUGUGUUCUGCUGUGGUUCUGAGCAGCCUCGUAGUGCCAUGCAGUGCUCUUCAGACAUACGCUGGGGCUCAGGGCUGUGGGCCUCAGAGCACAGGGAGGGGGCAGGUCCCCAUGGGGAGGAGCAGCUGCCCCUGCACCUGCAUCUAACUGACAUGGAUGUUGGCUCCCCACACUGUGAGCACCUGGG
rnacentral:lncRNA from 1 species